AAUGAACGUUGGCGGCGUGGAUAGGCCUGCCAGUCGGGCCAGAACCCCGCAAGGGGGGACAGCCGCGAAAGGGACCGUAAUUUUUUGAUUAUCUUCCCCCAGGUCCCGGAUAGCUUCGGGAAACUUCCGGUAAUACCCGAUAACAUCUCCCGAUCAAAGGUUUGAUUUCGCCUGAGGAUGAGUCUGCAUCCUAUUAGCUAGUUGGUGGGGUAAUGGCCUACCAAGGCAUUGAUGGGUAGCAGGUGUGAGAGCACGACCUGCGUCAUUGGGACUGAGACACUGCCCAGACACCUACGGGUGGCUGCAGUCGAGAAUCUUCGGCAAUGGGCGCAAGCCUGACCGAGCGACGCCGCGUGUGGGAUGAAGGCCUUCGGGUUGUAAACCACUGUCAGAGGGGAUGAAAUGCAGGUGGGUUCUCCCAUCUGUUUGACAUAGCCUCAGAGGAAGGACGGGCUAAGUUCGUG
rnacentral:rRNA from 1 species